rnacentral:rRNA from 1 species
GAACGAACGUUGGCGGCGUGGAUUAGGCAUGCAAGUCGAACGAGAACCGGGGGCAACUCCGGGGAAAGUGGCGAAAGGGGCAGUAAGGCGUGGGUAACCUACCCUGAGGACGGGGAUAGCUGCGGGAAACCGCAGGUAAUACUCGGCGACGUAGCGAGGGGGCAUCUCUUUGCUACCAAAUGAAUUUCGCCUCGGGAGGGGCUCACGUGGUAUUAGCUAGUUGGUGGGGUAACGGCCUACCAAGGCGAAGAUGCCUAGCGGGUGUGAGAGCACGACCCGCGCCACUGGCACUGAGACACUGGCCAGACACCUACGGGUGGCUGCAGUCGAGGAUCUUCGGCAAUGGGCGCAAGCCUGACCGAGCGACGCCGCGUGUGCGAUGAAGGCCUUCGGGUUGUAAAGCACUGUCGAGGGGGAGGAAGCUCCGCAAGGAGUUGACCUAUCCCUGGAGGAAGCACGGGCUAAGUUCGUGCCAGCAGCCGCGGUAAGACGAACCGUGCGAACGUUGUUCGGAAUCACUGGGCUUAAAGGGCGCGUAGGCGGGCGACCAAGUCAGGGGUGAAAUCUUUCGGCUUAACCGGAAAAUAGCCUCUGAUACUGGUUGUCUUGAGGGAGGUAGGGGUCUGUGGAACUUCUGGUGGAGCGGUGAAAUGCGUAGAUAUCAGAAGGAACGCCGGUGGCGAAAGCGACGGACUGGACCUCAUCUGACGCUGAGGCGCGAAAGCUAGGGGAGCAAACGGGAUUAGAUACCCCGGUAGUCCUAGCCCUAAACGAUGGGUACUAGAUUGUGGACUUAACAUGGGUUCACAGUCGAAGCAAAAGUAUUAAGUACCCCGCCUGGGGAGUAUGGUCGCAAGGCUGAAACUCAAAGGAAUUGACGGGGGCUCACACAAGCGGUGGAGCAUGUGGCUUAAUUCGAGGCUACGCGAAGAACCUUAUCCUGGGCUUGACAUGUGCGAAAGCGGCAGGAAGUACCCUGCGGAAACGUUAGGGGAACGGUAUCCAAUCCGGAACCUGCUACAGGUGCUGCAUGGCUGUCGUCAGCUCGUGUCGUGAGAUGUCGGGUUAAGUCCCAUAACGAGCGAAACCCCUGUCUCCAGUUGCCAUUAUUCAGUUAGGGACUCUGGAGAGACUGCCGGUGUUAAACCGGAGGAAGGUGGGGAUGACGUCAAGUCCUCAUGGCCUUUAUGCCCAGGGCUGCACACGUGUUACAAUGCUGCGUACAAAGGGACGCAAACCCGCGAGGGGGAGCAAAUCCCAAAAAACGCGGCCCAAGUUCAGAUCGUAGGCUGCAACUCGCCUGCGUGAAGUUGGAAUCGCUAGAAUCGCAG